rnacentral:rRNA from 1 species
GUAGGGUGCAAGCGUUAAUCGGAAUUACUGGGCGUAAAGCGUGCGCAGGCGGCUAUGCAAGACAGAUGUGAAAUCCCCGGGCUCAACCUGGGAACUGCAUUUGUGACUGCAUGGCUAGAGUGCGGCAGAGGGGGAUGGAAUUCCGCGUGUAGCAGUGAAAUGCGUAGAUAUGCGGAGGAACACCGAUGGCGAAGGCAAUCCCCUGGGCCUGCACUGACGCUCAUGCACGAAAGCGUGGGGAGCAAACAGGAUUAGAUACCCUGGUAGUCCACGCCCUAAACGAUGUCAACUGGUUGUUGGAAGGGUUCCCUUUCAGUAACGAAGCUAACGCGUGAAGUUGACCGCCUGGGGAGUACGGCCGCAAGGUUG